rnacentral:hammerhead_ribozyme from 1 species
AUCCGUCUGAAAAGUCCCAAAUAGAACGAAACGCGUGUACUGGAU